rnacentral:rRNA from 1 species
AGCUCCAAUAGCGUAUAUUAAAGUUGUUGCAGUUAAAAAGCUCGUAGUUGGAUUUGUGGCGUACGGUGUGUUCCGGGCACUUGUUGUCUGAGUAACCUGCUGUUGCCAUCCUUGGGUGGAACCUGUGUGGCAUUAGGUUGUCGUGCAGGGGAUGCCCAUCAUUUACUGUGAAAAAAUUAGAGUGUUCAAAGCAGGCUUAUGCCGUUGAAUAUAUUAGCAUGGAAUAAUGAGAUAGGGCUUUUUUGCUAUUUUGUUGGUUUGCGCAAGAAGGUAAUGAUUAAUAGGGACAGUUGGGGGUAUUCGUAUUCCAUUGUCAGAGGUGAAAUUCUUGGAUUUUUGGAAGACGAACUACUGCGAAAGCAUUUACCAAGGAUGUUUUCAUUA